UUUAUAUUGUUCAAUUCAAGUUGGAGUAUACAAUUUAAGUCCAAAUCUUUUAAUUAUCAUAAAAAAAAAUUAUGUUUCAUUGACUUGUUAAAAUUGAAAAUGUAGAAUGAUCCAUGAAAGCAACUAAAUAGAGAAUGGUCAGGUGACAACAGCAUGACUAGAUUUCACUUUUGAUGGUUAGGCAAAAGGAAUUGAUUGGAAAGCGACUUGAACACUGAUGUCGCCUGCUAGCAUGAGCCAUGAAUUAGACAUUGUAUUUUAUUUAUUUUAGAAUCUGACAUACAUGACAUAUGACUGUAAGAUUUACUUCUAGUCAAUUAGCAAAAAUCUUCUGGAAAUCUAUUUAUGCAUGGCAGUCAUUUAAGACAAUAUUGUAUUUUAUCAAACUAUGGCCACGUUCCUAGCUUUAGUUACAGCUAAGAUAAAGAGUGGCGCAAUUUCACCAUCUCUUAUAAGGUUACCAUAAGAGUCUUGUAUUUUCAUCACAAAGAAGUGUUACAUGUACUCCUUUGAAUUAUAGAAUAAGUUAACAUCAGUAAAUUAAGUCUCAAAUAAACUUUAUUUUAUCACCAAACAUAAAAUCAGGACCAUUUUCCCCAUUUCAAGCCUCUGUAAGUUUUCUUCUAUUUUCACCAUGUACACACAUGCGCAAAGUCAACUUUCGAAUACACACCCUAAUUGGAAUUUUGUACAUCAGGAGUUUGUAAACAUUGACCAAUAAGACCAUGAUUUAAAACAUAAUGAAAUAUUGGCAAGCUAAAAAGGUAAGACCAGUUCGAGUCUAUGGACAUUUCAUGCUUUUCCUAAUCCCACUGACUUCAUUCUUUUUUAUACGGCCGCAAAAAAAAAAAAAAAAUAUGGUUGUAUAUUGGUAUCACAUCGUCCGAAGACGGAUUGUUUUCGAAUUAUAACUUUUGUAUUUAUAUAAGUAAAAAGAAAUCAAAAAAUUUUAACACAAUGUUUAUAACCACAA
rnacentral:lncRNA from 1 species